GUUGAACGCUGGCGGCGUGCCUUACACAUGCAAGUCGAACGGUAACGGGCCUUCGGGUGCCGACGAGUGGCGAACGGGUGAGUAAUGUAUCGGAACGUACCUUUCAGUGGGGGAUAACGUAGCGAAAGUUACGCUAAUACCGCAUAUUCUGUGAGCAGGAAAGCAGGGGAUCGCAAGACCUUGCGCUGAUUGAGCGGCCGAUAUCAGAUUAGCUAGUUGGUGAGGUAAAGGCUCACCAAGGCGACGAUCUGUAGCGGGUCUGAGAGGAUGAUCCGCCACACUGGAACUGAGACACGGUCCAGACUCCUACGGGAGGCAGCAGUGGGGAAUUUUGGACAAUGGGGGCAACCCUGAUCCAGCCAUGCCGCGUGAGUGAAGAAGGCCUUCGGGUUGUAAAGCUCUUUCGGCCGGGAAGAAAUCGUAUCAGCUAAUACCUGGUGCGGAUGACGGUACCGGCAUAAGAAGCACCGGCUAACUACGUGCCAGCAGCCGCAGUAACAC
rnacentral:rRNA from 1 species